CCUACGGGCGGCAGCAGUGAGGAAUAUUGGUCAAUGGGCGAGAGCCUGAACCAGCCAAGUAGCGUGAAGGAUGACUGCCCUAUGGGUUGUAAACUUCUUUUAUAAAGGAAUAAAGUCGGGUAUGCAUACCCGUUUGCAUGUACUUUAUGAAUAAGGAUCGGCUAACUCCGUGCCAGCAGCCGCGGUAAUACGGAGGAUCCGAGCGUUAUCCGGAUUUAUUGGGUUUAAAGGGAGCGUAGAUGGAUGUUUAAGUCAGUUGUGAAAGUUUGCGGCUCAACCGUAAAAUUGCAGUUGAUACUGGAUAUCUUGAGUGCAGUUGAGGCAGGCGGAAUUCGUGGUGUAGCGGUGAAAUGCUUAGAUAUCACGAAGAACUCCGAUUGCGAAGGCAGCCUGCUAAGCUGCAACUGACAUUGAGGCUCGAAAGUGUGGGUAUCAAACAGGAUUAGAUACCCUUUUAGUC
rnacentral:rRNA from 1 species